rnacentral:tmRNA from 1 species
GGGAGCGACUUGGCUUCGACAGGAGUAAGUCUGCUUAGAUGGCAUGUCGCUUUGGGCAAAGCGUAAAAAGCCCAAAUAAAAUUAAACGCAAACAACGUUAAAUUCGCUCCUGCUUACGCUAAAGCUGCGUAAGUUCAGUUGAGCCUGAAAUUUAAGUCAUACUAUCUAGCUUAAUUUUCGAUCAUCUUUGAUAGUGUAGCCUUGCGUUUGACAAGCGUUGAGGUGAAAUAAAGUCUUAGCCUUGCUUUUGAGUUUUGGAAGAUGAGCGAAGUAGGGUGA